CCUACGGGUGGCAGCAGUGGGGAAUAUUGGGCAAUGGGCGCAAGCCUGACCCAGCAACGCCGCGUGAAGGAAGAAGGCUUUCGGGUGGUAAACUUCUUUUGUCAGGGAAGAGUAGAAGACGGUACCUGACGAAUAAGCCACGGCUAACUACGUGCAAGCAGCCGCGGUAAUACGUAGGUGGCAAGCGUUGUCCGGAUUUACUGGUUGUAAAGGGCGUGUAGCCGGGUUGACAAGUCAGAUGUGAAAUCCUGCGGCUUAACCGCAGAACUGCAUUUGAAACUGUUGAUCUUGAGUACUGGAGAGGCAGAUGGAAGUCCUGGUGUAGCGGUGAAAUGCGUAGAUAUUAGGAGGAACACCAGUGGCGAAGGCGGUCUGCUGGACAGCAACUGACGGUGAGGCGCGAAAGCGUGGGGAGCAAACAGGAUUAGAUACCCGUGUAGUC
rnacentral:rRNA from 1 species